rnacentral:rRNA from 1 species
UAAAAAUGUAAUAAAAAAAAUUAGAGUAGUAAUAGAUAUGAUCUUUAAACUUAAAAAAUUUGGCGGUAUUUUAAUCUAUUCAGAGGAACUUGUUUUAUAAUUGAUAAUCCUCAUUGUAUCUUACUUAAAUUUGUUUAAUUUGUAUACCGUUGUCAUAAGAAUAUCUUUAGAGGGAAAAAAUAUUCUAAUAUAAAAAAUAUUUUUAAUGUCAGAUCAAGGUGCAGUUUAUAUUUAAGAAAAAAUGAGUUACAAUUAAAAAAAUUAAUAUGAAUUAAAAAUUUAAAGGUUUUUAUGAAGGUGGAUUUGAUAGUAAAUUUUUAGAGAUUG